GGAUCAUUAGAAUUCUUGCAGUUGCCUAUUCCAUCAACAUUUCAAGUGCAGAGGAGACUGAGAAGCAGAGCUUUCAACAGAUGUAAUCUCAGCGGAAUACUUUGCAAACACAUCCAAGAAAGAUUUUUAAAUUAAUUUUUGUGAUUGUGCAUGUAUUCCACCUUCAUAAGGAAGAGUCAUCAGAAGACUUUGGGGUUCUUUCUCUCUGGAGACCACAUUGGAG
rnacentral:lncRNA from 1 species